GCCUCGUCCCACUCCCACUCCCAUUCUAGCCGCCAGAAGAACCCUACCCCCCUUGCCCAAUGCCCCCCGAUCCCCAUAGCCACCGCACGGCCUCUCUCCUCCUUCCCUCCCGCCGCUCCCUCUCCUUGCUCGCAGCUGCCUCCUUCCCACCUCUGCCCGAGCUCCGCCUUCCUCACCCGCCUCCUCCUCCUUGCCAUCGGCAGAAGCCUCAAGCCACGGCAUCACCGCCACCAGAUCCACCUCGCAACCUCUCUUCCUCCCCUGUCUGACUGCUGCGUGGUCGCGUCAGGCCCAUGCCGGGGCCGUCGCCACGGCUGCAGCCGCCGCCGCUGGAUGGCUCCGUCGGUCCCUCCCGCUCCAGAUCGAAAACUGAGAGAGCGACGGGAGGGAAGAAGGGGAUCGGGGGAGGGUAGAGCACGGGAGAGAAGGCGAGCUCGCGGCUGACCGCAGUGUGUGAGGCGGACGGGUGAGAAACAUUUGUGGUCGUGCCGUUGGCGACUGGAGAUUUGGAAUGCGGCCGUGGCCAUGGGCGGUCCUGGAGCUGGAUCGCGUGUGUGCUGCCUCCAACCUGCUUUGCUGCUCCUGCGAUCUCAAGGUAUGGUAUGGAUCUGCUUUGCGCGUUGCUUUAGCAAAACUGAUUAGUUAUCUAUACAUAGACGUGUGCAGAUCUGAGGACGAAGGGAAGAAUAAGAAGAAUUUAGCUAGAGAUCUGAAGAAGAUCAAGGUGAUUUUUCUCCCUCCUGUUAAGCUUUGUUAUCUCAUUUUGAUGCUAUUGUUUGUGAUUGAUGUAAACAUGAGGAAGAUAAGAGAUCACAACGAGGCUAAAUGAGAUUUGUGGUGACCAAAAUUCUUUCUUUGUUUACCUACAGAACUUUAUUGCACUAUUGAUUAUGUACUAUUUUCCUUUCCUAAAGGAAGAUGCCGAGUCAUGUAACAUCUUUAAAGAAGAGAGAAUCUGCAUUUUGUUCAUGUGCUUUCAGUUAGGGUGGAUUUGUGUUUUCAGAAAUGAGGCAACCUUACAUGUACAUAUUCACAUAUUUCCUUUAUAACACUACCAGCACACAUGAGUUCUUGUGUUUUUAGAGCUUCAUGGAAACAGGAUUCGGUGCUGCCCACUUAGUCUUUUUUUGCAGAUAUAUUUCCUUUAUCACUCCCCCAGUAGACGUGAGUUCUUGUGGCGGGGUUUUUCAUGCCGUCAUGUUAGGAAUUUAUUAUCGGAUUGUAGAUGAGGUCCUUCUUCAGUUCAGCUACGCUGGGCACUGUUUCCACUUCUUGUUUCUUACUUAUUCAUGUGCUUUCAGUUAGGGCGGAUUUGUGUUUUCAGAAAUGAGGCAACCUUACAUGCACAUAUUCACAUAUUUCCUUUAUAACACUACCAACAGACAUGAGUUCUUGUGUUUUUAGAGCUUCAUGGAAACAGGAUUCGGUGCUUCCCACUUAGUCUUUUUUUGCAGAUAUAUUUCCUUUAUCACUCCCCCAGCAGACGUGAGUUCUUGUGGCGGGGUUUUUCAUGCCGCCAUGUUAGGAAUUUAUUAUCAGAUUGUAGAAGGCCAAAAAAGGCGGAGACGAGUCAUGGAUCCUGCUGGCAAUGGCUACUGGUUGUAGAUGGAAUUUAAGCAGAGGAAUCGCAAAAGUUGUGCCCCAUGAGGCUAGCGACCAAAGGCCCGAUUUGUUUCCGUUGAAGCUUAUGUUCAGCUUGGCCCUUCAUCUGGGUGUAUGGUUAUCCUCAUCUCUAUACGCGCAUGCAUGGACGAGCUUCAGUCUGAUGAGGAGAAAACAAUCAUGUUGAGUUUUAAUCAGAACAGGUGGACAACCAUGUAAAAGGUUGGAAGAACUGUUCUAUUUUUGCAUCUGCAACCAGCUGCUGCUGCUCAAGAUUUGCUCUCCUUUUCCAAUGCAUGUAGUACAUCAUGAAGUGGCAGGCUGGAAGAAGUCCAAAGCCAGUUUCCGUCGGAUGAGAAUUCAUAGCAUCAUUGUGAGAUGGAGUCGAUUCAAGCAUCACAUGUUGGAAAUACUGCACCAUAGUGACAUAAGGGGCAUCGCAUUCAGGAAACCUAAUGAUUCCAUAUACACCUUCCCAAUGCCUGAUUGCAUAUGCCAACAAGAUGGAAUAUGAUCUAGGCGUUAGCAUACAUAACUGAGGGAUGCAUAUCCUCUGCCUUUGUGCAACAAAGGCACCAAAGGCAUGGCAUUGUUGACUGCAUGAUCAGGAUUUGAUGGUCAUGAUGAAAACUGGAGUGAAAUAAAGCAUUUGGCGCUUCUCAGGAGAUUCUUAAACCCUCUGGCAUACCCCAAACCGUUCGAUUCUGGAUAUAAUGGUCAAAAGGUGCCUAAUGACAAUGAUUUCCAUAGGAUUAGAAAUUGAGAGGAUGCGAGGGAUUUUGUAAAGUUAGUAAUCUGUAGGUAGUCCACCAUAUAGCAAUCUCCAUUUGUUCAAUGGGUUGUGGAUAUGAGUACAACCUGAGUGCCUCGAUGUAUAUUCGAAAACAACAAAGAAAGGAAAUUUUCAGUAUAUCAUUACUCAUCA